AGAACGAACGCUGGCGGCAGGCCUAACACAUGCAAGUCGAACGCUCUCGCAAGAGAGAGUGGCGCACGGGUGCGUAACGCGUGGGAAUGUACCUCUAGGUACGGAACAACCCAGGGAAACUUGGGCUAAUACCGUAUAAUAUCUUCGGAUCAAAGAUUUAUCGCCUAGAGAUCAGCCCGCGUAGGAUUAGCUAGUUGGUGAGGUAAUGGCUCACCAAGGCUACGAUCCUUAGCUGGUCUGAGAGGAUGAUCAGCCACACUGGAACUGAGACACGGUCCAGACUCCUACGGGAGGCAGCAGUGAGGAAUAUUGGACAAUGGGGGCAACCCUGAUCCAGCCAUGCCGCGUGAGUGAUGAAGGCCUUCGGGUUGUAAACUCUUUCACCCUACGACGAUGAUGACGGUAGUGGAGAAGAAGCCCGGCUAACUUCGCGCCAGCAGCCGC
rnacentral:rRNA from 1 species